GUUCAACACAAAGCGGCGGUGGCAGUGGAGGGUCCAUCAUAUAAGGCUCUGGAGGCGACGAGUAGCAGAUCAGUUGCAGAACCUCCAACUUUAUAAAUAAAGUUUCAGAACCAUGGCAGUCAUCAUGGCAGCCAUCAAGACAUUAUUACAGGAGGAACAUCAUCAACCCUCAUUCCUUGUUGCUUCCUGGUGGUUUGUGAAACCUUAAAUCCAGAACACACGGUCCUUAAACGUUCCACACAGUGACUUAAAACUGCCUAUUCAGACACUGAUGGUGUUAAAUGGAUGAUAAACCCACUGAUGAAGGGCAGGAUCUUUCCACUGAGUAUACGGAUGAAUGCAAAGGUAUCAUAGACUCAACAAAGCUCAACAUGGAACAAACUUGUCUCAGACUUAAUCUUUCUCAACCUCAACCAUUAGUAGUUGCUCUUAUUUACCAUCAGCAGGUUUUAGUCCCACAGCAAGAGGAUUCAUUACUCAGUUCAAGUUCACUCUAGUCUCCCUGCUGGCUUAGAAGUUAGUAGGAAUUCUGGCAACUUUUUCUGGCACUCUUGCUGCUAGAUUUACAUG
ensembl:lncRNA